GAGUUUGAUCGUGGCUCAGGGUUAACGCUGGCGGUGCGCAUAACACAUGCAAGUCGAGCGAGGGCUUAUUUCUCGCAAGAGAGAUGAGUUCCUAGCGGCGAACGGGUGAGUAACACGUGGGCAACCUUUCCUAUCGCGGGGGAUAACACCGGGAAACCGAUGCUAAUACCGCAUGUCGUCACUGGUCGCAUGGCUGGUGAAGAAAGCAGCAAUGCACGAUGGGGUGGCCCGCGGCCUAUCAGCUAGUCGGUGGGGUAACGGCCUACCGAGGCGAUGACGGGUAGCUGGUCUGAGAGGACGGCCAGCCACACGGGGACUGAGACACGGCCCCGACUCCUACGGGAGGCAGCAGUGAGGAAUCUUCCGCAAUGGGCGAAAGCCUGACGGAGCGACACCGCGUGUGGGAUGAAGUCUUUCGGGAUGUAAACCACUGUCGGAGGGGAAGACGAAAAAGACGGUACCCUCCAAGAAAGCCCGGCUAACUACGUGCCAGCCGCCGCGGUAA
rnacentral:rRNA from 1 species